rnacentral:misc_RNA from 1 species
UCUCCGUUGGUGAACCAGCGGAGGGAUCAUUACCGAAGUUACCUUCAAAACCCACUGUGAACCUUACCUCUUGCCGCGUUGUCUCGGCGGGAGGCGGUGUGCGUCGCACGCCCUAGCGGGCCGCGCCGCUCCCGUCCCCGCCGGCAGCGCCAAACUCUAAAUGCACAGCGGACUGUACGUUCUGAUUUACAAAAAAAACAAGUUAAAACUUUCAACAACGGAUCUCUUGGUUCUG